GAACGGCUGGAAAUCACAGCGUGUCGUUCAAAACGAAUGAACCAACCAAGCAGAAGUGGAGCAUCUGGAAAGCCUGAAGGCCAACAAUAGAAGACGAUGCAACAACUGACGACUGGGGGUGGCGGAGCGGGAGGAGGAAAGCCUGAAGGCCAACACUAAAAGACGAUGCAGCAACUGACUGUGGGGGUGGUGGAGCGGGAGGAAGGGAGGGGGUGACCCGCGAGUCUCACUGCCGCUCAUCAAUAGGACCAAGCGUUGUGCAAGCGGAGGACUCCGGGUCACCACCAGGGGAACACAGAGCAUCACAACUGCAGGAGGAAAAUGGGGCAAGGAAAGAUGAUGCAAAGUUCCCGUGCACCAUCUCGGAGCCGGGAAGCCACAGCCCCGGGAAGCACCUCCCGUGGUGCCCACACGGCAGAGGGGUCCUCAGCGGGGGUGGCCUCUAGCCUCUGUCCUACCAUGUGUGUCUCAAACGCACCCAGAUCCUCCACCCCAUCGAGGCUUACUCAUUGGGAAUAGGAGAUCUAUUCCCGGGAGGAGCUUUGUAUCGGAAAGGAGGAUGUGUGGUUCCUUUGGUUUUUAAAAUACCUACUUUAUUAAAUUACAAAAUUUUAGAAACCUAGUUUUUCCUUAAGGUUUCAUUAUCUAUUAAACCUAGCAAAUAUUCACAUUGA
rnacentral:lncRNA from 10 species